GGGAGAGGACAGGAAGCUGCCAUCCACACUCAAGAAAUAACCAGAUCAGAGACUUGGAAGGAAAGGUGUAUUUUUUGGAAGAGUUCUGGAGAACUUGAAAUCUCAUACCCCUUCAAAACAUGCUGUCCUAUGAAUAAAAGCUCUUCAAAUCGAAUUGGUUCGAUUCAGAGCUUGGUGACUACAAAUGGGCCGGUGGAAAAGGCUCCCCUACCCGCUUCUCACAACAACAGCCUUUUCAAGGUCCUGGAAAAUGCUACAUGGGAUACUGGUAGUGUGGGAAGAAGGGUGGAAAACCAUUCUGAGGCAUUUCCCAUAACGAAUCCAAGCCUCUAUGUCUGAAGCACUUUAUUACAUUUUAAUAAAAAGAAUUGAGAAUACUACUCAAUAAAUCUCUCAGGUUCCAAUUUGAUUCAUC